AGGCCUACGGGGGGCAGCAGUGAGGAAUAUUGGUCAAUGGGCGGUAGCCUGAACCAGCCAAGUAGCGUGAAGGAUGAAGGUUCUAUGGAUUGUAAACUUCUUUUAUAAAGGAAUAAAGUGAGGCACGUGUGCCUUUUUGUAUGUACUUUAUGAAUAAGGAUCGGCUAACUCCGUGCCAGCAGCCGCGGUAAUACGGAGGGUCCGAGCGUUAUCCGGAUUUAUUGGGUUUAAAGGGAGCGUAGAUGGGUUUUUAAGUCAGUUGUGAAAGUUUGAGGGCCAACCGUAAAAGU
rnacentral:rRNA from 1 species